CUUAGUACGAGAGGACCGGGAUGGACAGACCUCUGGUGCACCAGUUGUCGUGCCAACGGCACAGCUGGGUAGCUACGUCUGGACGAGAUAAACGCUGAAGGCAUCUAAGCGUGAAACUCCCCCUAAGAUAAGAUCUCCCAUCCUUUAUGGAGUAAGGGCUGAUGAAGACUACAUCGUUGAUAGGCCGGAAGUGUAAGUGCAGUAAUGUAUUAAGCUGACCGGUACUAAUAGCCCGAGGGCUUGACCUACAA
rnacentral:rRNA from 1 species